AGUGAACGCUGGCGGUAGGCCUAACACAUGCAAGUCGAACGGCAGCACAGUAAGAGCUUGCUCUUACGGGUGGCGAGUGGCGGACGGGUGAGGAAUACAUCGGAAUCUACUUUUUCGUGGGGGAUAACGUAGGGAAACUUACGCUAAUACCGCAUACGACCUACGGGUGAAAGCAGGGGAUCUUCGGACCUUGCGCGAUUGAAUGAGCCGAUGUCGGAUUAGCUAGUUGGCGGGGUAAAGGCCCACCAAGGCGACGAUCCGUAGCUGGUCUGAGAGGAUGAUCAGCCACGCUGGAACUGAGACACGGUCCAGACUCCUACGGGAGGCAGCAGUGGGGAAUAUUGGACAAUGGGCGCAAGCCUGAUCCAGCCAUACCGCGUGGGUGAAGAAGGCCUUCGGGUUGUAAAGCCCUUUUGUUGGGAAAGAAAAGCAGCAGGUUAAUACCCCGCUGUUCUGACGGUACCCAAAGAAUAAGCACCGGCUAACUUCGG
rnacentral:rRNA from 1 species